AUAAGAGUCCUGAAGCUCAGAUGACACAGCUGAUAACAGGGAAGCCAGGACAGAAUCUCAUUGUUUUGAACACCAAAACCCGUUCCCUUGACAACUUGGCUAUACUACACUAUUCGAAUGUUGCAGAUACUGUGGUCACAUUUCAAAGGCCAGAUCUUUCCCAGGGCUUAAGCUGUUCCUUGGAUACUUUUGCUGAUGGUUUACACAUCUUCUUCCCACAUUAUAUUGUAACUUUCUUACGAGCAGGACCUACUUCUGAUCCAGUUCUAUUGUAAAACCGAAGCUGGGUCUCAGUAUAUUGCCCAGUCUGGUCUCAAACUCCUGGCCUCAAGCAAUUCUCCCACCUCGGCCUCC
rnacentral:lncRNA from 1 species